UACGUAGGCAGCAAGCGUUGUUCGGAGUUACUGGGCGUAAAGGGUGCGUAGGCGGUUGUUUAAGUUUGGUGUGAAAUCUCCCGGCUCAACUGGGAGGGUGCGCCGAAUACUGAAAGACUAGAGUGCGGGAGAGGAGAGUGGAAUUCCUGGUGUAGCGGUGAAAUGCGUAGAUAUCAGGAGGAACACCGGUGGUGUAGACGGCUCUCUGGACCGUAACUGACGCUGAGGCACGAAAGCGUGGGUAGCAAACAGG
rnacentral:rRNA from 1 species